CCCACCCCCGGUACUACAGCGGCACGCAGAGCCGGAUCCGGAGGAUGUGGAAUGACACGGUCCGGAAACAGACGGAGUCCAGUUUUAUGGGAGGGGACCUGAACAGCACCCCGACCUUGAACCGAGGGUCACAUCUCCUGCCCAACCCGGUGCUGCCGCCGCGGGGGGGGUCCAGCCCCUACAACACCCUCCUGGCCGA